UACAGAGGGUGCUAGCGUUGUUCGGAAUCACUGGGCGUAAAGGGCGCGUAGGCGGCCUUGCAAGUCGGUUGGUGAAAGCCCGGGGCUCAACCCCGGAGGUGCGGCCGAGACUGCAGGGCUGGAGGCCGGAAGAGGAGGGUGGAAUACCCAGUGUAGAGGUGAAAUUCGUAGAUAUUGGGUGGAACACCGGUGGCGAAAGCGGCUCUCUGGUCCGGACCUGACGCUGAGGCGCGAAAGCGUGGGGAGCAAACAGG
rnacentral:rRNA from 1 species